UACGUAGGGGGCAAGCGUUGUCCGGAUUUACUGGGCGUAAAGAGCGUGUAGGCGGCCACGCAGGUCCGUUGUGAAAACUGGAGGCUCAACCUCCAGACGUCGACGGAAACCGUAUGGCUAGAGUCCGGAAGAGGCGAGUGGAAUCCUGGUGUAGCGGUGAAAUGCGCAGAUAUCAGGAGGAACACCUAUUGCGAAGGCAGCUCGCUGGGACGUAACUGACGCUGAUGCGCGAAAGCGUGGGGAGCAAACAGG
rnacentral:rRNA from 1 species